UUCCACUCAAGGCAGCUACACUCAUCAGAUUUCAUACUGCAACGCCAAACAUGAACACCGCCUAUUUUUUUUAAAAAGGUUACACUCGUAGGCAGCUCUCUGACUAGAAGACAGUAGAUUCUUCUUAAUGAGACCCUGGCAAAAAGGAAAAGAGAAAUCCCCUAAGACGCUGGUCAAGAGACAACAAGGUGUUGUCAGCAGAACAUCCGCAGUGAAUAAAGAGCCAGGCUCUUGGGCUGGGCCACCUGCAGGGACUGCGAUGGAGCUGGACACAGUUGACGAAUGGAGUUAAGACCUGAGUCAUCCAGUGCUUCUCUUUGUUAAGUUCACACAUACCCUCACUGAAAUGUUCAGGGGUCUACAAGACCAUCUUUACCUCUGUCACCAAUCUCAAGUUAGAGGGUCCCCGUGAUCACUCUAUGGUUUGACAAUUCGCUGGAAGGACUCAGAAAGCUCACCAAAAGUGGCUAUACUCACAGUUAUGGUUUAAGACAGAACAGGGACAGAGAUUAAAAGCAGCUAAGGGAAAAGGGACACGAAGAAGGGUCCAGGAGAGCCCAAAGCAUGGGACCUCCAGUUGUCUUCUCCCUGUGGAGCUAUGCACACUUGAUUUCUCACAGCUGCAAUGUGUGACGAUACACACGAGCCAGUACCAACCAGAUAAGCUCACCCAAGCCUUGGUAUCUAGAGUUUUUACUGGGGCUCAGUCACAUAGCCAUGGCUGACUGGUCAUGCCGUCAACCUUAGUCUCAAGAGGUCAGAUACAUACUACAUGACCCAAGGACCCGUCCUAGAAACCACACUGCUAGCAUAGGCUAUCUGGCUUGGCCAAAGGUCCCCAGGUUAAACAAAUCAAGGCAAGAUUUUCCGAGGUCUUAGAGGUUACCUCCCAGGAGCCAAGGGCA